CACCAAGGGGUAGAAGGUCUGGUAAAUCCGAAGCUGUGGGACCAUCUCAGAGGCCUACAUCUGAGCCAGCAGAGAGGCCAGAUAACAGACCACCUGCCAGAAAUUAUGCCUUGAGAGCUCAGGAGGAACAAGAUGCCCCGGACGUCAUCAGGGGUACUGGAGAUCCCGAUCGUGAGCCCAGUAGACCACAGACUGGGUAAGUCCAUCUGACAGUUCUGCUCAGUGUCUGUGUCACCUCACUACCUGCAGUGCAUCGGUAGGGCACUAGGUGUCAGUUUGUCAUUUUGAUAUUUUGUAGUAGAUUUGUAUUUUCUCAUAUGUAUUUGAUCUCAUGUAAUAUAUUUUGAUGUAUAUGUAAAUUAUGAAAAUUGUAUUUGUUAAUGGAAAAGUAGAUGUUUACUUGUGAUUUA